AAGCAUUUGACUUGUGUGCCCUUAGAAGCCAUCACAGCCAUGCCGGCUAAUGGCAUGGCUGUGAUUGGCCAGUGCAGCAUGUGACACAGCCUCUAUAUGUAAGCUGGAGUCGCGUAGCGCCGCACACACAUGCGGUCUUAUUAGUGUAGGGAGAGGAUGUUGAUAGGGACUGCUUAGGAAAGAAUUCUGCAAACUAGUACAUUACUGGUGUGGGGUACGUAACUUUGUUUUGAAUUUACUACAUCGGUCACUUGUAAUAUUGUUUCCCACCUACAACACUUGUUACACAGAUCUAAGUGAUAGAAAACAGAUUUAUAUUUUCUACACUAGAAACUACCAGAUAACAAACUGCUAUAUUUAAACCAGUGAUCAAUAGCUAAGAGGUACUUCAACAAUAUUGUCAUUUUGGGGCAAUACCCUCAAAAGUCAAACUGAGAGGUCAGUUUAUAGGGAAAACUGUUGCCUGGAUACAAUUCUAAAACAAUUUCCAUGUCCUUUGCAGACUUUACAUGUUGGAAAAACACAGGUGCCAACUGCUGUGGCUUUCUGCAGUGUGCAUACCGGCAAGGAGGGCAGGGUUAAGGAGUGGGUGGAAGAUGAUGUGGAGGAUGAUGAGGUCCUAGACCCCACAUGGAAUCAAGGUCAUGCGAGUGACGUGUGCAGUUUGGAGGAAGAGGCGCUGGUCGCACAGAGGCAUCAACACAGCAUAAGAGGGAGCAGGGUGCAAAAGCGGAGCGGCAGUCCCCUAGCCCUCAUCGGCAUGUAUUAGAUCGAGAAUUACUAGUUAUCCAAGUAAUACAUGUAGCGAUCAAAGGAUCCAUAACAGUUGAGCCAGAUUGAGUACCAGAUUUAACGAUCCAUUCGUAGUUUCACAGUGAGGUGAGCAGUCCGGUGACCAGGACCCAGACACUGUCUGGGUGGUGGUCGGACGACCGGGACCCAGUAUGCCUGAUGUUGAAGUUAGGAGUCACAGUGUGGAAUGGAUUAGAAGGGUCUGGUGCAGGGUAACCACAUGCCCCCUGCUGUUAAUCACCAGCGUUUGUGCGGCCACAUACCAGGACCCUGAUGCAGCUUCAGUAAAAAGAGUACUUGAUACCAGAAGCCAUCACCAGACUGAUCCACAACUUGGAACAGGAUGUGACAUUCACUGUAGUGGCGUUGCACGCUUUUGGCGUUCUCACCCUGCUGCUGAUCGCCUGUCUGCGCUGCAGCGUAACUUCGGCCUUCUCGCUCACCGCCUCAUGAGACUGUGCGAGCAGCAGCAGGCGAUAGUGGAGUUUCAGAUGCAGCACGCACUGUUCAGUCGUUCUGCGGAACAAUUUUCUUUUUUUAUAUAUCCCA